rnacentral:rRNA from 1 species
GAUGAACGCUGGCGGCGUGCCUAAUACAUGCAAGUCGAGCGAACGGAUAAGGAGCUUGCUCCUUUGAAGUUAGCGGCGGACGGGUGAGUAACACGUGGGUAACCUACCUAUAAGACUGGAAUAAGCUCGAGAAACCGGAGCUAAUGCCGGAUAACAUUUGGAACCGCAUGGUUCUAAAGUAAAGAUGGUUUGCUAUCACUUAUAGAUGGACCCGCGCCGUACUAGCUAGUUGGUAAGGUAACGGCUUACCAAGGCAACGAUACGUAGCCGACCUGAGAGGGUGAUUGGCCACACUGGAACUGAGACACGGUCCAG